CUUGGUCGUUGAAAAGUGCAUAAGAAAGAGGAACGUCGUUAGUGUUAUCAAUAUGGCCAAAAUAAGGGUAAAUAUUGGCUAAGAGCGGGAGGUUAUUUCGUGCUAGAAAUUCGAUUAUGGGAUUAAUGAAGCUUUUGUAUUCUUCGCGAAAAAUACUAGCACUUGGUGGGUAGGUGUUUGUUAAGAGUCCUAAGUAUGUUGCGGUUGAGACCUUAAUUUGAUCUUGCAACCCUGCUGAUGUUAACGCGUUGUAAACAUUUUC